rnacentral:rRNA from 1 species
GAGCAGUGGGGAAUUUUGCGCAAUGGGCGCAAGCCUGACGGAGCAACGCCGCGUGAGGGAAGAAGGCCUUCGGGUUGUAAAGCUCUGUCAGCGGGAAAACCGUCCUGCAGUUAAAGCUGCUGGGAUUGACUAGAGGAGGGAGAGGAAGCACCGGCUAACUCCGUG